AAAUUGAAGAGUUUGAUCAUGGCUCAGAUUGAACGCUGGCGGCAGGCCUAACACAUGCAAGUCGAGCGGCAGCGGGAAGUAGUUUACUACUUUGCCGGCGAGCGGCGGACGGGUGAGUAAUGUCUGGGAAACUGCCUGAUGGAGGGGGAUAACUACUGGAAACGGUAGCUAAUACCGCAUAACGUCUUCGGACCAAAGUGGGGGACCUUCGGGCCUCACGCCAUCGGAUGUGCCCAGAUGGGAUUAGCUAGUAGGUGGGGUAAUGGCUCACCUAGGCGACGAUCCCUAGCUGGUCUGAGAGGAUGACCAGCCACACUGGAACUGAGAC
rnacentral:rRNA from 1 species